UACGGAGGAUCCAAGCGUUGUCCGGAUUUAUUGGGUUUAAAGGGUGCGUAGGCGGAUGAUUAAGUCAGUGGUGAAAGCCGGCAGCUCAACUGUCGAACUGCCAUUGAAACUGAUCGUCUUGAAUGUAGUAGAGGUAGGCGGAAUGUAUCAUGUAGCGGUGAAAUGCUUAGAUAUGAUACAGAACACCAAUUGCGAAAGCAACUUACUAUGCUAUUAUUGACGCUGAGGCACGAAAGCGUGGGGAUCAAACAGG
rnacentral:rRNA from 1 species